GACUAAAUAAAGAAGUGCGGGGAUCCUUAUUUGUCGGUCAAAUAAUACGGUACCGAGAAGUGUUUCGUUGAUAGUUAGACGAUGAGAUAGAAAUGAAGAAAGGCAAAUUGGAUUUCGUAAGACCGUAAGGAACGUUAAAAUCGAUUAUGGUUAUUAGUGAAGGGGAACGAACUUCAUACACAAGGAGCUUGGAUCGAAUGAUUAGAACAGCAGCUCGGCGACGUUGGGCAGGAAACUAACCGUGUGGAGGACGGUCGAUUUCAAGAGUAUACGAGGCGAAUCCUUAAAAAAAUUUACGCUGAACCGUUUUAAAACUAAUACUAGUACAUAAUUUCCAGAUGACGGAACAACGGAUGUAUUCUAACAGCGGACGGACUGACGGGCGAACGAGGGUUAUAAAAGAGGAACGAGGAUAAUUUAAAUUCGGUGAAAAU